GUCGCCCGCAGUCCAGUCCCUGCAGCGCACCGGACGUGGGCAGCUUCGGCAGCGUGAGGCUCCAACUUGCGCCCCCCCCUCCCGCCCCCCGCCCCGAACACCUGACCUCUACCGUGCAAUUCCCGGAGCUGCCUAGGCAGGGAAAGCAAAAUCAGCGUAGAGAAGCACUUGGCAAGCCUGCAAGACGGGGUUGCACGUUCCCUCAUGCAAACCCUGGGCUCCUUCGGUAUUUACUGAGCGCACAGGCGUGUGCUCUUUUUGAGGCCUGCAGAUGAGGCGCAUAAACUACCGCAGCUGAGCGCUUGGCGGUCUAGUAGAGGAGGGAAACGGGGAACCCACCAAUCUGUUGUGAUGCUAUGUGGUUAAGCAACAUGUAGAAAAUACUCUGAGCGCAGAGAAGAAAUAUUUGGUUGGGCAUGGGGUCAGCUUCACGAAGUUGGCAAUGUAAGGUGAUAACUGAUGAGGUAACUGCAUGAGCAAAGCUCCAGAGGCAUAGUCGCAGCAUGCAACUCUGUAAUCACCUGUUUAAUUACCUGUACUGCAGAAAGGGACCAUUUCUUCUUCUCCUCCAGCAACCACCACAGGCUGUGAGCUUCAUGAGGGCUGAGAUCAUCUUUCACCUGCUGUUGCUGCAUAAUAAAUGCAAGUUAAGAAGAGAACCAAAGCCACUUUCCAACUUGAUUGCAGAGGGUGGGAGUUUGAGGCGAAAGAGAGUAUGGUAUUCCAGGCUAGCAAGAUCAAAAGGCCCAGCUGGGGCUUCUGGCCAGUCUUGUCAGUAACACUUGUCAGAAAGAAACAAACUGGCAUGUGCAAGAGCUCAGCCUAUGCAGGCUCUGCUUUCUAGAUUCUCCCCAUGCACCCUGCAGACAGGGUCAAGUGACUGAAGUUCUCCCCAGGCAAAACUGCAACAGAAGCCACCCCCUCUGAUGUCACUGACACCUUGAGAGAUGGCCUCCGGCCAAGCAAGUGAUAUUUCAUAUCUGACUUCCUUGGGAAAUAGCUCUGCCCAGCAUGAGGAAGUGAUGGACUUAUCACCAACACUUGGGAAAAAAUAUGGGCUGAUCUGGGCUGAGUUACAAAGAGGCAAGCAAGUGGGAGGGGCCCUUCCUGUAUCACUCAUCUCACAGAAGAUACGUGCCAGCCAGCUCUGCUUCCCACGCCCAGAGAACACAGGGCCCAUGACAGUAGUUCCAGUGACAUAUCACCAUGCACAGCUCCUUUAGGACCAUCUGCUGCUUUCCCAUGUCCCUUCCACCCCCACUUCCACAGAUACACCAAAACACUGGGUGUUGAUUGUAAAUCUAAGCCUAAAGUACAUUACAGGCAGGGCCACAGCUCACAGCGCUCCUAGAAAAGAAAGUGCUCAUCCAAAAAUGACAUGCAAAUUUGGGAUGAAUUAAAGCAACACCUGGUAGAGGUUGGAAUCUAGAACUGAAAAAGAAAAUGCUCACAUCCUACCUAAAUCACAGCUAUGAAGAAUGGAAUUUUCCUAGCUGGUCUGUUUUUAAGAAAGUAACACCAAACCUUCAAGUGUGUAAAAUGUUGUAGUACAUUCAGCCAAGGAGCACAGUGGAUGAAACUUCAACCCGCAUCUCCUUUAAUGAAACCGAGUUAUUCAGUCAACCCAGGGUGCAAGGUGGAAAUGACCUACCCAAAGCAAUGGCAUGUUCCAGUGAGGGUCACCUUCUGACUACUGACCUAAUUGCAUUUCCUACUUAAGUUUAUGUACUCACAGGCAAAGCAGAGAAACAGUCAAAUUGGCAAAAAACGGUACACAAAAGGCCUGCUCAGUGUCUGGGAGCCUCCUGAGCAGUGGAAUGAAAAUGAGGAAAUUAGAAGAACAGAAGCUCCUCUCCUCCAACAGAAAGGAAUCUCGAAUUCCGAUUUUCUUCCCUCUAAAUUACUACCCUUGCUGCUUUUAGAAUUUGAAGCUACCUGGGCCUCCCUGGUGGCGCAGUGGGUUGAGCGUAGCACUGUGAAAUUGUCCGCAGCCUCUGCAGUGCCGGUUCGAUUCCUGGCCGGCCGGGCAGAUUCCCACAUGGCGCAGCAGACCUCUCCUGUCACGCCCGCUGCUCCACUCAGCAGUGCUUCUUGUCUGUCUGCCUUUUCUGCUCCCCACUCUGUCUCUAGUGAAUCCUCUCACCCUCCCGUGCCUCUGGCCUGUACCCCAGCUAUUGUAUUAAAAAAAAAAAAAAAAAGAAUUUGAAGCUACCUAAGUAAAGAUCCAGGGAGAGCAAAGGGGGCAGGUAAAGAACUCACCAAUGACUUAUCGAUGAUGCAGAACAUGUAGGCAUCGUGGAGAAGGAUGUGCAUUGGUCUCUUGGGAUGAAAACUGAUGUGUGUGAUGGGAGUAUCCCUUUGGAGCCAAAGGUAAUGAAAACCCUGCUUCUGGAUGGUCCUGCUCCACUCUGUAUACUGUUUGUCUGGGAUGCUGUACUCAAAUACCUGAGGAUGGGUAUGAUACAAAAGAUGGGUAUGAUACAAAAGUACACUGUUACAGAAAGAGCAAAGGGUAAUCCUCAUUCCUAACCAGAAAAUAUCUAUAUACACCUUGACUCCAUCAUAGAGAGCAUUAGACUUUCCCACUACUCUUUUAAAUUGAAAAAAAAAAAAAAAAAAAAUUAAGGUACAUUACAGAAUAACAAAAAAUUCAAACAGUAUAGAAAGGGUUACAGUGAAAAAUCACCUGCAAUCUUGGCAUAUCUCUUCUUUAAAACAAAAGCAGGAUGCUAUUUCUUAUUUACAUCUACUCUGGGAUAUUUUACAUAUAUAAUGUACUCUGUUCUAUAUGUUGUUCUUCCUUCUAGCAUUAUAUUGCAGGCUGACCCAUAACAAUAUACAGACCACUCAUGCCUCCUCUUAAGAACACAUAAUAAUCCACUCACUUUACAGAUACACCAUGAUCUGCUUCUUUAGUGUGCUUAGUGGACAUAAUGUGUGACACAGACAAGUACAUGGUCUCACUUAUCCGUCACGCUUUGGUCAAGGACACAAAUCCAUGAAGCUGAUAGAAGAGAUUUCAUUUUGGGGUUAGAACGUGUGUGCACAUGCAUGUAUACAUAUGUGGGUGUAGAAAGUGCUAGUAAAAGUAGCAAGCCUCAAUUGUCUUCAGUCUACUUAAAUGGUCUUCCCAGAUCACAUUUAAUACUUCCAGCACCUCAGUAAGGAAGGUACUAUGCCUAUUUUAUAAAGGACAAGUAGUGACAACACAGUGAGUUCUAUAGCACAGGUAUUUUAAAUAUCUUCUUAUUAAAUAAUCUUCUCUUUACCACAUAAUAUGGAAAAACAGCAGACUUGUCUCUAAUCUGGGCUGAUAUUAGCUACUUGAUUUCACUAUGAACUGAUUUCUUCACCCGGAAAAGUGAAAGCAAAUUACAUGAUCUUUUAGUCACUUUUGAACUCUUAAAAUCAUGAUCCAUCCCAUGUCCAGUUGAACCCAUGUCAUCUCUACUCUAACACAAUCAGUAAAAUGGAUGCUUCAAAAUUCCUUAUCCUCCUUGCACCUCUUUACUCUAGAAAACUCAGGGCUUCCCCAUUCCACUGCACCCCAUUAAGUCUACAGUGAGCCCAGGUUCUACCCAGAAGCUUUAUUUCACAAACAGGAGAAAACCACCUUUAUACCAUCCAAUUUCAAAGAAAAGCAACCCCCAAUUU